CAAAAACUCCAGUUCCAAUUACAGAACACAGCUUUCAAAACACCCAGAUCACUAAACCACUUAGAAACAAGAAUUCUGAGAAUUUCAACACACACAAGCAACUAAUAUUUAUUGCUUUCAGUCAUUCCCUCACCACACAAGAUUUAUAUAAUUGAAAGAGCAACAAUUCUCAUGCUCAUGACAAAAUGAAUGGGUAGAUUAACCAAUAAGAGUUUAUAGACGGAAAAUUGAAAACGUAAUUCCAAUUUUGUAUUUUUCUCUCAUUCAAUAAUAAUUUUCAUCCAAAAAAUGAUUAUUGUUAUAUAUAGA
rnacentral:lncRNA from 1 species